GACGAACGCUGGCGGCGUGCCUAAUACAUGCAAGUAGAACGCUGAAGGAGGGGCUUGCUUCUCUGGAUGAGUUGCGAACGGGUGAGUAACGCGUAGGUAACCUGCCUGGUAGCGGGGGAUAACUAUUGGAAACGAUAGCUAAUACCGCAUAAGAGUAGAUGUCGCAUGACAUUUGCUUAAAAGGUGCAAUUGCAUCACUACCAGAUGGACCUGCGUUGUAUUAGCUAGUUGGUGAGGUAACGGCUCACCAAGGCAACGAUACAGAGCCGACCUGAGAGGGUGAUCGGCCACCCUGGGACUGGGACACGGCCCAGAAGCCGACGGGAGGCAGCAGUAGGGAAUCUUCGGCAAUGGACGGAAGUCUGACCGAGCAACGCCGCGUGAGGGAAGAAGGUUUUCGGAUCGUAAAGCUCUGUUGUAAGAGAAGAACGAGUGUGAGAGUGGAAAGUUCACACUGUGACGGUAUCUUACCAGAAAGGAACGGCUAACUACGUG
rnacentral:rRNA from 1 species